GGCUGAGAUGUUCAGUCGACUGCUGUCUCACUUAAUUUGAAGUUGGUUGAUAAGGAAAGGACUUGGUUCCAAGUAUUGGCAGAAAUAAGUGUCGUUCCAUGAGGUGCCCUCUGAUACAAUUGUUGCUUCAAGUUCUACUUCGGCCUGGGGAAUUUUCUUAAGUCGCCUCCGAAUUGGUUAUUUUCUGCAUGAGAGCUCUUCAAUCUUCAGCUUUUCCAAUUUCAUCUGGAUAAGAUGAAGCAGAUGGAGAUGGUGCAUCUGAACUGAUGUAUGUUCUAUUGGAUACCAUACUUUCGUUGCUACCACAGUCAUAAGCUUUAACACAGACUGCUAUUGAGCUGGAAAGCCACAGGUAUUGAUAAUAUUCUCAGACCUAGCUCAGGCAUUGCAUAGUUUGGUCAACGAAUUUGGGGAAUUCUACAGAACAAAAUUUUGACUAUCCUGGAGGUGAAUCCAUCCAGCUCUCAGUGCUCAAGUCACUGUUGAAAAGGAACUUUAGGCUGGCAGACAAACCUUUCAAGCACAAGAAAGGUAAUUGAUGCUAAAAGUCUCACUUCAGGUGGUUUUAUGUAUAUUCAAGGAAGUCCUAAAGAACUACUUUUGAAAAAUCCAAUUUCUCUUGUAUGUGCAGAAUUGCUUUUAUAGAUUUAAAUGGAGCGACAUUAACAUUGAUGAUCAUACAUCAGCUUCAAUUUUGACAGGAUGUUGCUGUUGACGUAUAUGUUUGUGGAAGACAUGGACUCCCUACUGUGCAAGCAGCUGAACGAGUAAGAUUUGCAAGUUUUAACAGGAUUUGGUAGUAGAUGAUCCUUUGAGUCGCUAUCACGAACAGAACAAAUAAAUUGCUUUACUUGAGUUGGUGUUGGACUUUGUCAAAUGCCACUUGGGAUUUCAACCAAAGGCUGGUAAAAGACCAAACAGUUGGGCAAACCCAUUAAUAAAUGGUAUUCUCCUACUGUUUGGUCGUAACACUUUGUUUUCAUUCAAACAUUUAUAAUAUUGUUUUGGGUGGUGGCACCUCAUUGACUCUCCUAUGAGUUGUGAUGUAUAAAGUCUGGCCAAUGUAAAAAUUACAUCCACUAUUUGCCACACCACUUUAAGUUGGAGUUCACCUCAAGCAAAGCAAGUCUUUUUAAACACAUCAAGGUAGGUGACUUGUGAAAUAUUGAAGUCAUGUAGAACUACCACUUUUUGAAGAUUUUCGUCAUCUGAAUCAAUUCUAAACAGUAUCUUUAUCUGGCUUUGUUCUGUGACUCAG